rnacentral:rRNA from 1 species
AGUCGAGGGGUAACAUAGAAAAGCUUGCUUUUCUGAUGACGACCGGCGCACGGGUGCGUAACGCGUAUACAAUCUGCCUUAUACUGGGGUAUAGCCUUUAGAAAUGAAGAUUAAUCCCCCAUAGUCUCUUUUAAUGGCAUCAUUACAAGAGUAAAGGUUACGGUAUAAGAUGAGUAUGCGUUCUAUUAGUUUGUUGGUGAGGUAACGGCUCACCAAGACUGCGAUAGAUAGGGGCCCUGAGAGGGGGAUCCCCCACACUGGUACUGAGACACGGACCAGACUCCUACGGGAGGCAGCAGUGAGGAAUAUUGGACAAUGGAGGCAACUCUGAUCCAGCCAUGCCGCGUGCAGGAAGACUGCCCUAUGGGUUGUAAACUGCUUUUAUACAGGAAGAAACCUUGGUACGUGUACCAAGCUGACGGUACUGUAAGAAU